GACGAACGCUGGCGGCGUGCCUAACACAUGCAAGUCGAGCGCCCAGCAAUGGGAGCGGCGGACGGGUGAGUAACACGUGGGAACAUGCCCUUCGGUACGGAAUAACUCAGGGAAACUUGUGCUAAUACCGUAUGCGCCCUAACGGGGAAAGAUUUUAUCGCCGAAGGAUUGGCCCGCGUCUGAUUAGCUUGUUGGUGGGGUAACGGCCCACCAAGGCUUCGAUCAGUAGCUGGUUUGAGAGAGCGACCAGCCACACUGGGACUGAGACACGGCCCAGACUCCUACGGGAGGCAGCAGUGGGGAAUCUUGGACAAUGGGGGAAACCCUGAUCCAGCCAUGCCGCGUGAGUGAUGAAGGCCCUAGGGUUGUAAAACUCUUUCGGCGGGGACGAUAAUGACGGUACCCGCAGAAGAAGCUCCGGCUAACUUCGUG
rnacentral:rRNA from 1 species